UUAAUUUCUUAGUUAUCCUCGUGAUUAACUGAAAUGGAUAUGGAGUAUGGGAAGUUUUAUACCAACAUAUCUUCCAAUAACAAUUAAGAUCUCAGACAUCUCCUUCUAAAUGAAAAAAAAGCAUAUAUAUCCAAAAUGUGGUUGAUAUGGUGAAUUCAACAUUAACAUGAUUCUUGUGCUCAAUCUCUAGAAAUACUAAUUCAAUGUUGUAAUAAGAUAGUGAAAAUAUUUGU
rnacentral:lncRNA from 1 species